rnacentral:lncRNA from 1 species
AUACACUUAACUAUCAGAGUGGCACGUGAAGGAGGCUAGGAGUGUUCUCUCCAGUGGGAGAUGUCUUGCAGUAGAAUGCCUCUCGAGAGUUUAGGGUCUGCGUGAGGAGCUGGUCACUGCUUCAGCAGUGAGACCCCCAGAAUGGAGGCAGAAGUGGAGAGUGACAAAAAUCUCAAGGACACUUAAGAAACCAGAAGACUGGAGCUCUCCAUCCCAGAGGCCAGAAGGGCGAAUCAUCGACAUGAGAAGCUGCUGCCCUUCUCAUCUCUGCAAGGAUGAGCUGGACCAGAGAUUCCAAAGGUUCCUGGCAGCCAAAGAAAAUGAUGAAGGACCUUGUGGUUUGGAGGGGGAGGGUGGUUUGUUUUUUAAAACCCGAUUUAGUUAGACAGUUGCCUUUUACCUAACUCCUUUGUGGAUAAAUACAUCGUCCAACCUCACUAUCUUUAUUAGAUUCCAAGCCACUGACAAAUUCUGGUCUGAAUGCAAUUCCUUUUUUACCUGGUCUGGGGCACCUGUACUGAGCUCUUCUGCAGACGUAAAUCAUCCCUAGGGGUUGGGGUUAGCAGGGGUGGCCACGGUUGCUAAGAGCUUGGGAGGCAACUUGCGCCAGGUGGGAGGGGAGGCAUGAUGGAGGCUUGCUCUUUUCUCUGCUAGGUUUAAUCUUUCGCUGUGGGUUUGCUGGCUGUGCCCGUAAUUAAAUGAGGGAGGUGUUUGUCAUCCUGGGUCCCUUUCAGCCGAGCUGAAUGCAACACAACUUUCUCAGGAAGCUUCUGCCAAAACAGUGUUUGUGGCUGGAGCCAGGACAUAGACAAAGACACCGGGCAUGCGCACUGGGAACUGGGGGGCCACCUAGGGGCAGUGCCAGGCCGCCGCUGCCCUCGAGCCCCGGGCCAAGGCUGUUUGGAAACUAAGUGCUUCAAUUUCAAUGUCGUGAAGAUUCGUGUGGUACAGAGUGGCUGCAAAGUGUCCCCGAGUUAAUGAGGGAGAAUGAAUGCCUGGCACGCUGGUGCGUUCUGCUUGAGGCCAGGUUCCCACAGAGGCCUUUGGGGUACUGCGCACGUGUAUUAAAUCCGAGUCGGAAGCGGCCUGGGCUAGAGCCACCAGGGGAACCACAUUCCUCCUGCCUGCUAAUGGGGUUGCCUUUUUCUCAAUAAGAAACACCCAACCAUUCAACAUAUGCGUCUCACCUUCAUAGCCGGUCCUCCCUACAUUCCACCCAACCCUGUGGGAACUCAGAACAACUGGAAAGGGAGGCAGAAGAGGCACUGUUGUCUUUGUUUCCUCUGGGAGAAACUGGCUUGAGAACUGGACUGCAUGAGAGAGUGGUAAGGCUGGGCGUUGCAUUCGAUGCUUUGAUUCCUUGGUGUUAUUGUACGAGGAAGGAGAAGGCACGCAGGAAGGACUGGGUGUGUGCGCAUUCUCACUGAAAGUGCAGAGCAACCCGGGGAGGCAGCUGCGAGUGCCCACUGAAGUCUUUGCAUGCGGAGACUGCGUUCACAGAGGUUACACACUGCUUCCCCGUGGUCACUCAGCAAGCAGAGCAGGGGGAGGGACUCCACAGUUCCCACAGUCCCUCCUCACAGACUGCCAUGCUAUGUCCGGCGACCUAAAAUCUUUCCCAAAUACAUUCCCUUCUUCAUGAUUGUUG